UACGUAGGGGGCAAGCGUUAUCCGGAUUUACUGGGUGUAAAGGGAGCGUAGACGGCGAUGCAAGCCAGAUGUGAAAGCCCGCGGCUCAACUGCGGUAGUGCAUUUGGAACUGUAUGGCUGGAGUGCAGGAGAGGGCGGUGGAACUCCAUGUGUAGCGGUAAAAUGCGUAGAUAUAUGGAAGAACACCAGUGGCGAAGGCGGCCGCCUGGCCUGUUGCUGACGCUGAGGCACGAAAGCGUGGGGAGCAAAUAGG
rnacentral:rRNA from 1 species